CAAUAGCGUAUAUUCAAGUUGUUGCGGUUAAAAAGCUCGUAGUUGGACUUCUGUGGUGCUUGCGCCACUCCGCACUAUGUGCUGGAGGAGGUUGCAGCGCCACAUUUGGCUGGGUGUUGCGUUUCGGCGUUGCGUUCAGCCCCUUUACCUUGAAGAAAUCAAAGUGUUCCAAGCAGGCAAGCGCCUUGCAUGCAUUAGCUGGGGAUAAUAACAAAGAGUUCAGUUGCUCUCGUUGGUUCAAGUAGCUGGAUUUAAGAUUAAUAGGAACAGUUGGGGGCAUUCGUAUUUGGCCGUCAGAGGUGAAACUCUUGGAUUGGUCAACGACGAACUACUGCGAAANCANNNGCCAAGGAUGUUUUCAUNGA
rnacentral:rRNA from 1 species